rnacentral:rRNA from 1 species
GACGUAGGGCGCGAGCGUUGUCCGGAUUUAUUGGGCGUAAAGAGCUCGUAGGCGGCUUGUCGCGUCGACUGUGAAAACCCGUGGCUCAACCAUGUGGUCUGCAGUCGAUACGGGCAGGCUAGAAUUCGGUAGGGGAGACUGGAAUUCCUGGUGUAGCGGUGGAAUGCGUAGAUAUCUGGAGGAACACCGGUGGCGAAGGCGGCAUCCUGGACCGGUAUUGACACUGAAGCGCGAAAGCCAGGGGAGCAAACGGG